UACGUAGGGACCAAGCGUUGUUCGGAUUUACUGGGCGUAAAGGGCGCGUAGGCGGCAAUUCAAGUCAUCUGUGAAAUCUCCGGGCUUAACUCGGAACGGUCAGAUGAUACUGCUUUGCUAGAGUGCAGAAGGGGCAAUCGGAAUUCUUGGUGUAGCGGUGAAAUGCGUAGAUAUCUGGAGGAAUACCGGUGGCGAAGGCGGCAUCCUGGACCGACAUUGACGCUGAACGGCGAAAGCUAGGGGAGCAAACGGG
rnacentral:rRNA from 1 species